CGGCCCAUCGACCGUUAGACGCCACGAGUUUAGUGAGGAUAGAGAGAGAGAGAGAGAUCGAAGAGCCGUCGCGAAAAGUACCGAAGUACGCGCCCGGCUUGCGAACCAAGUCGAGGGUUCAAAGUCGAAGGAAAGGAACCGACUGGACUGUGAAAAGUGCCCAGAAGGAACCAGAGGAAAGUGAAGGAGUGGCUGUGGAAGGACCAACAGCGGGCCUGCGCUGAAGAACAAGAAAAACCUUAAGCGAAACGAGGUAGGAACUAGCCAAUAAGAAAGUGGGACUAAAGUGGGAAGAAUAAAGGUACCUGGAGCUAAACAAGUGUUGUGUGUGUUGAAUAUUUGAGCGCUUCCUUGGCCGCGAUAUUCGAGCGCGCAUGCCGACCCUGAGGUUGUGUAGAGGGGGGUCUCAUUAGUGCUGGGCAGGGAGUACCCCAUCCCAAGUAACAUUGAAAGUUUUAUCGAGUUUUUAUAGUAUUCUACAAGUCUAAAUCAGGAUCUACAGAACCCUCAUAAAACCCAAAUUGAUACUUGGGCUGUUACAAAACUGUGAAAGUGCUUAAAUUAACGCUGAAGACAGGCAUUAAGUUCCAGUUAAGACGUAAAAUUGACGAUAAAUUGAUAAGUUGACAUAUUGAAAUUCAUCAUUAUUCACCACAGUGUAGGCAAACUGAUGAGUAGAAAAUAACAUUGCACUGGCGUAAAAAGUUACUUCACUCGAGAGCGAGACUAAACCUUCUCGAGAAUUGUCUCCAGCGCCAUCUCUGGGCAGAGGGCCACCUUACCUAAAACUGAAAAUCACUUGAGAGAACUUUGGUGCCUCGCCGCCAAAAAGUCAUGUCAAUUUCGGUGCUCUGAGAGCGGCAUAUGUAAGUGGGCAUUAUGAAAGUUCAGUUCAGUUAAAACAGGGUGUCGACCACUUGAAAAAAAAACCUGGAAAAUGAGUGAAUAUCAGGGAAUUUAUUUUAAGACCUCGAAAAUCAGGGAAUUUCAUUCAAAUUCAGGGAAAUCUUUCUUAGUCACAGACAGUUAUUAAAAAGUAUGACUGACUUCGCCAGUUUUAAGCAACUUAAUUACUCGGUGUAUGAUGGUUGUUUAUGUCAAAUUUUAUACAGAGAUGUGAACUUGUGGUUGCUCAAUGCUUAAUGUUGCAUUUUCGCAAAUUGAGCAAAAAUUACUCAAAUAAAAGGAUAAUUUGUUGUGUUUGGGCCUAACCAUCAAAUAGGUAUGUGCGACUCUUAACACUCCGAACACGAAGUCUCCGGUUAAAAUGUGUAACGGAAAACUUGCAAUGUUUGAAAAAUCAUAGCUCUGCCAUUAAUUGGAGAAUUUCAAAUUUAUUGAUGCCAUUUGAAAUUACAGACUUCGUUUAAAGAUUCAUUCGGUUUCAAUAGAUUUAAAAUCUUAUGAUAAAUUGCUGAGCAAUGAUUUUUCAAACAUUGCCAAAUUGGAGUUAUAAAUUUACCGAAGGUAUCGUGUUCGGAAUGCUAAGGUAUGUUACACCUAAUUGUGUCUGACAAAAUUUAACCUUCGAGUAGAUUGAUGCGUCUGCUCGAUCCAGCUGUGUCCAACAAAAAGUCAAUCCUUUGAGCACAUAGGUGCGCCUUUGAGUAAAUUCAAGAAUAGCAAAGCUUGAGAAUUCUCGGUCUGCAUUGUAAAUCUGGUCAGCUCGGAAAAUAAGCUUCUCAGUGAAGAUUUAGUAUUGUGAUGUUGCUGCUAAUUGAGGUUGAGAUGGAAUUAACUAACAAGUUUUUACGAUUUCCGACCAAAAGAAUCCGUCCGCGUUUGGUUAAUGUGCAGACUUCUAAUAUAUACUCGACACUAACUUCUAAUAUAUACUCGACACUCGAGUAUUAGUACAAGACACUGAAGAAGUCUGCACAUUGUAGACGAAAUACGCGUAUCUGUCAAGGAUAAGCAAAUAAAGUAGUGGAAUUAAAUGGAAAAUACUAAUCCUUCUCUCUCUCAUUAUACAGGUAUUCCACUAAGACGCCCACAUUCAUCAGGAUAUAAAAAGGUGCUAAAAGGAUAUGAUUAAAGACACAUGUUCAUAUGUAAUAUGUAGGAAAACUGGAUGAAUUACUGUUCCUAGCGUUGAGUUCGGAAACAGUUAGAACAGGACUUCUAAGUGUGAGAAAAUUGCCAUGCUAAGGACCUCUUCUCGUAUCAUGGAGCAAAUCGAGCACUUAUCGCCAGCGCAAUCGCUGCCGUGUGUUGUGCACCGCAGUUUGGAUCCGGUGCAGGAGCUGCAUCCCAAGGAGUCGCAAUGGGAGGCUUCCCUGGCAUAGCAGGAGGCACAGGUGCCACAGGUAUGGGCAUUGGAGGAUUCCCCGGCAUGGAUGGUGGCAUGGGACGACCCUUCGGCAGACCGGAAAUACAGACGGCAUGGGCUCCUGCUGCUCCUGGUGGUGGAUAAACCAUUGUUGAUCUG